rnacentral:rRNA from 1 species
UACGUAGGUGGCAAGCGUUAUCCGGAAUUACUGGGCGUAAAGAGAGUGUAGGUGGCUAGGUAAGUCACAUGUGAAAGCCCACGGCUCAACCGUGGAACUGCAUGUGAUACUGCUUGGCUAGAGUAUAUGAGAGGUAAGCGGAAUUCCUAGUGUAGCGGUAGAAUGCGUAGAGAUUAGGAGGAACACCAGAGGCGAAGGCGGCUUACUGGCAUAACACUGACACUGAGACUCGAAAGCGUGGGGAGCAAACAGG